CUCGGAUUCCUCCUCUCGAGUCCUAUAUUCGUCCUCUAGGAUUCCAUAUUCAUCUUCUAGGGUUUCAUAUUCGUUCUCUGGGAUCCCAUAUUCAUCUUCUAGGGUUUCAUACUCCUCCUCUCGAGUCCUAUAUUCGUCUUCUAGGGUUUUACAUUCUUCCUCUCGGGUCCUAUAUUCGUUUUCUGGGCUCCCGUAUUCGUUCUCUGAGUCUUUCUCUCGAGUCCUAUAUUCGUCCUCUAGGGUCCUAUAUCUAAAUUUAACAAUUCCUGAACCCUUUUUUAGCUUUCAAAUUGAUGCCACAUCUUCAAGAUUGCCACAUCAGGACAAAGAAAGAAAUCAUAUCAGAUGAUAAUAUAUAGUUUCCCAAAAAGAGAUCUAGCCAUGCUUCCGACCGUUUUGAUUCUUUAGAACAACUCGAUGAAUUUAGUAGAUCCUUUUAGGAGGCCCUCAAUGACCAUAGAUCGAACCUAUCCUAUUUUUACAGUGCGAUGGCUGGCUGUUCACGGACUAGCUGUACCUACUGUUUUUUUCUUGGGAUCAAUAUCAGCAAUGCAGUUCAUCCAACGAUAAACCAAAUUCCAACUAUAGAACUAUGACACAAUCAAACCCGAAUGAACAAAAUGUUGAAUUGAAUCGUACCAGUCUAUACUGGGGUUUAUUACUCAUUUUUGUACUUGCUGUUUUAUUUUCCAAUUACUUCUUCAAUUGAGAGAAAGAAAGAGAGUAGUAAGAAUUCUCUUAUCCCCAUUUGGAAGGAUACCAUCCUUAUAACUAUCCAUGACUGUUUUUGUCUCUAGCAUGACCACUUGAUAAAAUGUGGAGGAAAGUAGGGGAAAUGGCCGAUACUACUGGAAGAAUUCCUCUUUGGCUGAUAGGUACUGUAACCGGUAUUGCUGUGAUUGGUUUAAUAGGUGUUUUCUUUUACGGUUCAUAUUCUGGAUUGGGUUCAUCUCUAUAGUAAUUGGAGGGACCAGGUUGUAAACAUGAAAAAAUAGGAACUUAGCGGGUCCUUACCCCUUUUAUCUGAUUAGAGCGGAAAGGACCCGCGGAAUUCUUACUCUUAUAACCCGACUUUUUUAAUCUAUUCCGUAACCUACAAACGGGUUUCCUAUUUUGAUUUGUAAAAAUAACAAAGAGAAAGCCUUUGCUCUGAUGGUCAGAAUCCCUCUAUUUAUUCGUUUUGUUUGUUAAUUUUGUUUGUUAAUAAUGUUAGUGAAGUAAUCCAUCAGUUGAUUUAUAACCCCCUCGCCAAUGAAAUUAAUUCACUUUUAUGAAGCGAGGAGAAAGAAAGGAUCAAUCGAGGAUCCAAUAUUUUAUUCCCCGGAGGAAGUCUCUUGUAAAUCAUUGAUUUAAUUUAGAGUAAUAAACUAAUAAAACCUUAAUUAAAACUACUCUCAACUAGCCUAAAAAUAAAAAACAGCCUUCAAUGGAAGAGUAUCCUUUUUUUUGCAAAAUUUCUGUAAGUUCUAAAUUGAACUUAAUUGAACAAGUCAAGCAAUUCUAUUUGGUCACAAAAAAUUUGUCCCCCGCCAUAUUUUCUUUCCCUCUUUUUGUCCACUACAUCGCCUGAACCUAAGCAAAAGAGGUUCAAGAGACAGACCCAAAUAAAGAAGAAAUAGUAAUCUUUGCCGAAUAGGAAGAAAAAAGAUUCAUAUUUCGAUACAAGAAGAAUCGACACAAGAAAAUGGCAAAAAAGCCUUUUUCUUGUGCCCAAUAGAGGAUUAAGAAGACCAGCAAUCCCUCCUAAAAGGAUUUGUUCCUUUUAUUGUUCUCGCCCUUGCCUUGCAUUCUCCUCGUUUUGCAUGAGAUGAUAGAAAUAAGGAAUUGCAGACAAGACAUCUCGCAAACAAAAAAUAGUCUAAACAAAAAAAAGAUUUCCAAAAUGGAUCAUAGAGAAUUCUAGCAAUCGCCAAUAAAUCGCGGCUUUUUACCAACUUGAUGGUAAGAAAUCCCGGGACCUAGAAAUUCAUUUCGUACAAUUGAACCUUUUCAAACUGUUUCUUUUUGAGAACCAAAAAAACUUGUGCCAAAAUAACGGAUGCGAAGAAGAACAAAAGGCCUUGAACGCGUAAUGGAUCCUGAAGCACUAUUUCUGCAUCCCCCUGACCAAACCCUCCCACAUUAGGAUUACUUGUUAAUGGUUGAUCAAGCUUGAUCGAUUCCCCCUCUGAAACAAGAAGUUCUGGACCGGGAGGUAUAAGAUCAAUCACUUGGCGUCCAUCCGAUGCAUCGACUAUGGAUAUUUCAUAUCCCCCCUUUUCUUUACGCAGUAUUUUUCUUACUACAACUGUUGACGUUGCAUUAUAGACCGUAUUGUUACUCUUGCUACCAUCAGGAUAGAUCUGUCCCCUUCCUCGGUUUCCCCCCACAUAUAUGGGAUAUUUUAAGAAAUGAACGUCUUUCUUCAUAGCAGGGUCGGGGGAAAGAAUGGGAAAGACGAUUUCACUAUAUUUCUUACCGGGAACAGGGCCUAUCACAAGAAUAUUUUUUUUAUUGGGACGAUAACUCUGAAAAGAGAGAUUUCCUAUCUUUUCUUUCAACUCAGGAGAAAUACGGUCGGGCGGCGCUAAUUCGAAUCCCUCGGGCAAAAUAAGAACAGCACCCACAUUCAACCCUCCCUUUUUCCCAUUAGCAAGAACUUGUUUCAGUUGCAUAUCAUAAGGAAUUCGAAGAACUGCUUCAAAUACAGUAUCGGGAAGCACUGCUUGGGGAACUUCAAUAUCCACAGGCUUAUUCGCUAAAUGGCAAUUGGCACAUACAAUUCGUCCAGUUGCUUCUCGUGGGUUUUCAUAACCUUGCUGCGCAAAAAUGGGACAUGCAUUUGAAAUAGAUGUCCGAGUUAUUACGUAUAUCAUGAUCGAUACAGAAAUCGAUCGAGUCAUCUGUUCCUUUACCCAAGAAAAAGUAUUUCUAUUUUCCAUGUCCAAUCACAGAUCCCGGAAUUUCUACAAUAAAUUAGAUAGGUAGCUAAGCUAAUCUAGUUCCCUAUACACGAAUCUGUUGUCAUUCUACUGCAACAGUUGUACUGGAAUGAUGAAUACCUUGAGCAGGUAGAAAUAGAAAAAAAGAAUUUUGCUAAAAUGGAAAAAGGCUUUCUUUCUAAAGGAAAAAGGAUGCUAAUUUUGAUUAAUAUCAGGAGAUCAAAUGAGUUUAUGCUUCACUAAUUGAAUGAUAAAUGACUACAAGCGAAGGAGAUAGGCGGUUUAAACAAAAAAAGACCCAAAAUUUCAAACAUGUAUCUAGAAUCACAGGAAAACAACAAACAAAAAUAGUGAAAAUUAGCUCGUUAGGAACCCAUCCAAGAUCGUUAUAGACCCAACGAAUUAGUAGUUCCCAACCGCGGGUGGAGUGAAAUCCAACAAAAAAAUCAGUAACUAAAAGAAUAAAAAAAGCUUUUACUGAGUCAUUUAAGUUAUAGAAGAAUUCCUGAACCCAAGAAUUCAAAAUAACAAGUUCCUCUUUACCCAGAAAAAAAGAACCACUUAGAAUAGCCAAACAGAUUAUAUUUGUCGAGAAAUGCAAAAUGAUAUGGAGAUGACCCUCAUUAUCUAUUUUGGCCAAUUGUAUUAUUUCCUUGCGUAUUCCUAUAGGGGGGUUUUGUACAUGUGUAUUCGGUUUCUCUUUUAUCAUUUCGUCCAAGAUAAAAAGGUCUUCUAAUUCCAUGAAUCUUUCUAGAACUCUUUUCUCUUGAAUAGCAGUUAAGAGAGUUUGGGAUUGCCUGGUAUUCCACCAAUUCUUAAUCCAAAGUUCCAGACAUUUGUUAAAAGAGAAAGAGACUCCCCAAGGCAAAAGUACGAUAAAUACAAGAUAUAGGAAAGAAGGCAAUGCUUUCUUUUUUUUCAUUUUUGAUCUGUAAAUUGAGUUGUUAAUGAAUCCGCUUUAUUCGCUGACUCUAUAUGAUAUUUCUUUUUCUUUGAAGGAAAAAAUCUAUAACAAGGUUUGAGACCUUGUAUCUAUUCCUCUUUUUUCUAUACUAGUAGAAUUUCAUUGCAUUGAGUUCUUUCUUAGAUCUAGAUGGAGUGGAAUAGAGAAAUAGAAAAAAGUCCUUUCGGAUGAAAAUGGAAGAAUAUUACGCCAUAUAUCCCACUUGGACAAAUUAGAAGCAAUUUUCUCUUAUCCUCAUUUGUUCCUUCCUUUAGAUAAAUACUCAAAAUCCCCUUACAAUAAUGCAAUUUCGAAGGGACCUUUUCCCUCGUGUUGAGAAAACUUUUCUUCUUCCAAUUCUUCUUCAUUCAAUUCAUUUCAAAAAAUUCAAUUGGUACUCAAAAUACUUCCAUUGGUAUGCGCAAGAAAUAAGCCAAUUCGGCAGCUUUUUGUUCAAUUUCUCGUGGAGUAAAAAACUUCUCAUCAGUACGAGUCAAGGGAAUGGCCCCCUGGCCCCAGAUUUCCAUAUAAAGGAUACGACGAGGAAAAAGACCUUCUUUAACCUGAAUUCUAAUUGAUUGGAUAUCCCGCAUAAGGAAUCGAAGGAAGACGCGACGUUUUAUUCCAGGGAAUCCCCAACGAAAAAUGCACACUACUCCCUCUUUUCUAUCGAAUCGGUCAUAACCACUGCCUACAUUCCACAAAAUAGUGCACCACAAGUAAGCGCUAAUGAAUAGGCCUGCGAUUCCGUAGAAAGACAUCACGACCCCCUGUGGAAAAAAAGGAAUUUGUUGAGAUGGAAGUACAGAUAUAAUAUUCUUACCAAGAUAACUGGAAGCCCCAACCGCUAAGAAUCCUAGUGAACCUAGAAAAAGAAUACAGGCCCAGAAAAAAUUACCUCUUUUUCGAGAACCUUUUAGAAGUUCUAUCCAUAUGUGUUCUGAUCGCCAAUUCAUAUUAGAUAUACUAACAGCGGUCGAUUGAAAUUGAGAGAAUAAGCUAAAUGAUUUUGACUUUACUUUUUUUGAUUCUGAAAUCGCCUUCGCCUUCGUAGUAACAAUAUAAACAUCAACAACUUCAAAUUGGACUCGUUUCCCCACAACAAAUAAAGGCUUGGGCUAACAAAACACUACCUAAUGGGGAAGUUGUUGGCGAAGUCACAAGGCCCUCCACUUUUCAUUAUAAAACCGAUAAACCAGAAAAAGAUGGAUUGUUUUGCGAAAGAAUCUUUGGACCCAUAAAAAGCAGAAUUUGUGCUUGUGGAAAUUCUCGAGCGAGCGGACCUGAAAACGAAGACGAAAGAUUUUGCCAAAAAUGCGGAGUAGAAUUUGUUGAUCUAGAUAAUGUUUCCUACCCUGAAAUUUUCUUGUCUUUCCCUAAUGCUAAGGAGAAGAAGAGGAUUGAGUCAAAAGAAAAAGCUAUUUUGGAGUUUUAUCAACAAUUUGCUUGUGUAGGUGGGGACCUGGUAUUUUCGGAAUCCUUAUGUGAGGAAUUACAAAAGAAAUUUUUUCAACAAAAAUGUGAAUUAGGAAGGAUUGGUCGAUGAAAUAUGAAUCGAAGACUGAAUCUUGAUAUACCUCAGAACAGCACCUUCUUGUUACCGCGAGAUGUAUUGGCCGCUACGGAUCAUUUGAUUGGAAUGAAAUUUGAAACGGGUAUACUUGACGAUGACGAUAUGAAUCACUUGAAAAAUAAACGUAUUCGUUCGGUUGCGGAUCUGUUACAAGAUCAAUUCGGACUGGCUCUUGGUCGUUUACAACAUGCGGUUCAAAAAACUAUCCGUAGAGUAUUCAUACGUCAAUCAAAACCGACUCCACAAACUUUGGUAACUCCAACUUCAACCUCGAUUUUAUUAAUAACUACUUACGAGACCUUCUUUGGUACAUAUCCCUUAUCUCAAGUUUUUGAUCAAACCAAUCCAUUGACACAAACGGUUCAUGGGCGAAAAGUGAGUUGUUUGGGUCCUGGAGGAUUGACGGGGAGAACUGCAAGUUUUCGGAGCCGAGAUAUCCAUCCGAGUCACUAUGGGCGUAUUUGUCCAAUUGACACGUCCGAAGGAAUCAACGUUGGACUUACUGGAUCUUUAGCUAUUCAUGCGAGAAUUGAUCAUUGGUGGGGAUCCGUAGAGAGUCCAUUUUAUGAAAUAUCUGAGAAAGCAAAGAAAAAAAAAGAGAGACAGGUGGUUUAUUUAUCACCAAAUAGAGAUGAGUAUUAUAUGAUAGCAGCAGGAAAUUCUUUGUCCUUGAAUCGGGGUAUUCAGGAAGAACAGGUUGUUCCAGCUAGAUACCGUCAAGAAUUCCUGACUAUUGCAUGGGAACAGAUUCAUGUUAGAAGUAUUUUUCCUUUCCAAUAUUUUUCUAUUGGGGGUUCUCUCAUUCCUUUUAUUGAGCAUAAUGAUGCGAAUCGAGCUUUAAUGAGUUCUAAUAUGCAGCGCCAAGCAGUUCCGCUUUCUCGGUCCGAGAAGUGCAUUGUUGGAACUGGAUUGGAACGCCAAACAACUCUAGAUUCGAGGGUUUCUGUUAUAGCCGAACGCGAGGGAAAGAUCAUUUCUACUAAUAGUCACAAGAUCCUUUUAUCAAGUAGUGGGAAGACUAUAAGUAUUCCUUUAGUUACCCAUCGGCGCUCUAACAAAAAUACUUGUAUGCACCAAAAACCUCGGGUUCCGCGGGGUAAAUCCAUUAAAAAAGGACAAAUUUUAGCGGAGGGGGCUGCUACGGUUGGUGGGGAACUUGCUUUAGGAAAAAACGUAUUAGUAGCUUAUAUGCCAUGGGAAGGUUACAAUUUUGAAGACGCAGUAUUAAUUAGCGAACGUUUGGUAUAUGAGGAUAUUUAUACUUCAUCUGAUGUCAAUAUCCUGUUUUGGGAUUUCGAUUGAAAUACCCUUUAUGGGUGUUUUACGUAGAAAUACUAUAGUUGCUUAUUUUGACGACCCACGAUACAAAAAAGAUAAAAAGGGUUCAGGAAUUGUUAAAUUUAGAUAUAGGACCCUAGAGGACGAAUAUAGGACUCGAGAGAAAGACUCAGAGAACGAAUACGGGAGCCCAGAAAACGAAUAUAGGACCCGAGAGGAAGAAUGUAAAACCCUAGAAGACGAAUAUAGGACUCGAGAGGAGGAGUAUGAAACCCUAGAAGAUGAAUAUGGGAUCCCAGAGAACGAAUAUGAAACCCUAGAAGAUGAAUAUGGAAUCCUAGAGGACGAAUAUAGGACUCGAGAGGAGGAAUCCGAGGACGAAUAUGGGAGUCCAGAGAACAAAUAUAGGCCCCGAGAGGAUAAAUAUGGCACUUUAGAGGAAGACUCAGAGGACGAACAUGGGACUUUAGAGGAAGACUCAGAGGAAGACUCAGAGGACGAAUAUGGGAACCCGGAGGAAGAUUCCGUCUUAAAAAAGGGGGUUUUGAUUGAGCAUCGAGGAACAAAAGAAUUUAGUCUAAAAUACCAAAAAGAAGUAGAUCAGUUUUUUUUCAUUCUCCAAGAACUGCAUAUCUUGCCGAGAUCCUCAUCCCUAAAGGUACUUGACAAUAGUAUUAUUGGAGUGGAUACACAACUCACAAAAAAUACAAGAAGUCGGCUGGGUGGAUUGGUUCGAGUGAAGAGAAAAAAAAGCCAUACGGAACUAAAAAUCUUUUCUGGAGAUAUUCAUUUUCCUGAAGAGGCGGAUAAGAUAUUAGGUGGCAGUUUGAUACCACUAGAAAGAGAAAAAAAAGAUUCGAAGGAAUCAAAAAAAAGGGAAAAUUGGGUCUAUGUUCAGUGGAAAAAAAUUCUCAAGAGCAAGGAAAAGUAUUUUGUUUUGGUUCGACCUGCAGUCGCGUAUGAAAUGAACGAAGGGAGAAAUUUAGCAACACUUUUCCCACAGGAUCUCUUGCAGGAAGAGGGUAAUCUCCAACUUCGACUUGUCAAUUUUAUUUCUCAUGAAAAUAGCAAGUUAACUCAAAGAAUUUAUCAUACGAAUAGUCAAUUCGUUCGAACUUGCUUAGUAUUGAAUUGGGAACAAGAAGAAAAAGAGGAGGCUCGUGCUUCCCUUGUUGAGAUAAGAGCAAAUGGUCUGAUUCGCGAUUUCCUAAGAAUUGGGUUAAUCAAAUCCACUAUUUCGUAUACAUGAAAAAGGUAUGAUAGCAGAAGUGCAGGACUGAUUCUCCAUAAUAGGUUAGAUCGCACCAAUACCAAUUCCUUUUAUUCCAAGGCGAAGAUUCAAUCACUUAGCCAACAUCAAGAAGCUAUUGGUACCUUGUUGAAUCGAAAUAAAGAAUACCAAUCUUUGAUGGUUUUGUCGGCAUCCAACUGUUCUCGAAUUGGUUUUUUUAAGAAUUCAAAAAAUCCCAAUGGGGUAAAAGAAUCGAAUCCUAGAAUUCCUAUUCCAAAAUUUUGGGGGCUCUUUCGAAAUUUUUCGGGACUCUUAGGUACUAUUGCACCUAGUAUAUCGAAUUUUUCUUCAUCUUACUAUUUACUAACGUAUAAUCAGAUCCGGUUAAAAAAGCAUUUGCUCCUUGACAAUUUGAAACAAAACUUCAAAGUACUUCAAGGACUUAAACACUCUUUAAUAAAUGAAAAUCAAAGGACUUCAAAUUUCGAUAGUAACAUCAUGUUGGAUCCAUUCCAGUUAAAUUGGCACUUUCUCCCUCAUGAUUCUUGGGAAGAGACAUCAGCAAAAAUUCACCUUGGACAAUUUAUUUGCGAAAAUGUGUCUAUUUAAAUCGCACAUAAAAAAAUCAGGUCAAAUUUUCAUUGUAAAUAUAGAUUCCUUUGUUAUAAGAGCAGCUAAGCCUUAUUUGGCCACUACAGGAGCAACUGUUCAUGGUCAUUAUGGAGAAAUCCUUUACAAAGGGGAUAGGUUAGUUACGUUUAUAUACGAAAAAGCGAGAUCUAGUGACAUAACGCAAGGUCUUCCAAAAGUAGAACAAAUCUUCGAAGCGCGUUCAAUUGAUUCAUUAUCGCCGAAUCUCGAAAGGAGAAUUGAGGAUUGGAAUGAGCGUAUACCAAGAAUUCUUGGGGGUCCUUGGGGAUUCUUGAUUGGAGCUGAGUUAACCAUAGCCCAAAGUCGUACCUCUUUGGUUAAUAAGAUCCAAAAGGUUUAUCGAUCCCAAGGGGUACAGAUCCAUAAUAGACAUAUAGAGAUUAUUAUACGCCAAGUAACAUCAAAAGUGCGGGUUUCCGAAGAUGGAAUGUCUAAUGUUUUUUCACCUGGGGAAUUAAUUGGACUAUUGCGAGCAGAGCGAGCAGGGCGGGCUUUGGAUGAAUCGAUCUAUUAUCGGGCAAUCUUAUUGGGAAUAACAAGGGUUUCCCUGAAUACCCAAAGUUUCAUAUCUGAAGCAAGUUUUCAAGAAACUGAUCGAGUUUUAGCAAAAGCUGCCUUACGAGGUCGUAUUGAUUGGUUGAAAGGCCUGAAAGAAAACGUAGUUCUGGGGGGGAUUAUACCUGUUGGUACCGGAUUCCAAAAAUUUGUGCACCGUUACCCACAAGACAAGAACCUUUAUUUCGAAAUUCAAAAAAAAAACUAUUUGCGUCGGAAAUGAGAGAUAUUUUGUUUCUCCAUACAGAAUUAGUUUCUUCUGAUUCUGACGUAACAAACAAUUUCUAUGAGACAUCAGAAUCACCAUUUACCCCAUUUAUAUGAUUUAAGGAUACAUAAAGCAGAUUUUUUACUUUAAACUAGAUUUUUUACCUUAGAACGCUAAGAGGUUAGAUUUUCUAUUUUUAUUUUAAUUUAAAAAGAAGUUUAGUUAAUUCAUUAAGGUUAUGCUUAUACCAUGUAGAAGGUUCCAUCGGAACAAUUAUUAUUUAUUUCAAGCUAUUUCGGCUCUUUCUUAAUCUUCGAAAAGAAAGAAAUUUCGUAAUGGAAAGGUAGGAUGAAAAAAAAGAAAAAAUCAAAAGGAAGUGUGGAAAAAAUGACAAGAAGAUAUUGGAACAUCAAUUUGAAAGAGAUGAUAGAAGCGGGAGUUCAUUUUGGUCAUGGUAUUAAGAAAUGGAAUCCUAAAAUGGCCCCUUACAUCUCGGCAAAGCGUAAAGGUACUCAUAUUACAAAUCUCGCUAGAACCACCCGUUUUUUAUCAGAAGCUUGUGAUUUAGUUUUUGAUGCAGCAAGUCAGGGAAAAAGCUUCUUAAUUGUUGGUACCAAAAAAAGAGCAGCGGAUUUAGUAGCAUCAGCUGCAAUAAGGGCUCGUUGUCAUUAUGUUAAUAAAAAGUGGUUCAGUGGUAUGUUAACGAAUUGGUCGAUUACUAAAACUAGACUUUCUCAAUUUAGAGACUUAAGAGCAGAAGAAAAGAUGGAAAAAUUCCACCAUCUCCCAAAAAGAGAUGUGGCAAUCUUGAAGAGAAAAUUAUCUACCUUGCAAAGAUAUCUCGGCGGGAUCAAAUAUAUGACGAGGUUGCCUGACAUUGUGAUCGUCCUCGAUCAGCAAAAAGAGUAUAUAGCUCUUCGGGAAUGUGCCAUUUUGGGGAUUCCUACUAUUUCUUUAGCCGAUACAAAUUGUGACCCAGAUCUCGCGAAUAUAUCGAUUCCAGCCAACGAUGACACUAUGACUUCAAUUCGAUUGAUUCUUAACAAAUUAGUAUUUGCAAUUUGUGAGGGCCGUUCUCUCUAUAUAAGAAAUCAUUGAUUAAGAAGAAUAGUUAAUUCUUGGGCAACUGCGUAGAUUUAUGGAAUCACUUACUAUUCUUUUUUGUUUUGCAUAGAAAAAGGACGGGGAAUAUUGAUAUAUAUUAGAGGGUAUUGAUAUAUAUUAUCAUCUGAUGUGAUUUCUUGAUAUCCUAAAUAUAAGAUUAAUACUUCACGUUGCUGAGUUGAGAAAAAGAUGGUUGAAUCAAAAGAAUUCUUUUUUUGAAGUUCAUUUUUUAUCAGGGGACAAUAUGAAUAUUAUACCGUGUUCCAUUAAAACACUCAAGGGGUUAUACGAUAUAUCGGGCGUAGAAGUAGGCCAACACUUCUAUUGGCAAAUAGGAGGUUUCCAAAUUCAUGCCCAAGUACUUAUCACUUCUACGCACAAUAAUAUGUUGAACUACUUCAACAAGUCUACGUGUAAGAUAUCCAGCAUCCGCCGUUCGUACAGCAGUAUCUACAACCCCUUUGCGGGCUCCGUAGCAGGAAAUUAUAUAUUCUGUCAAAGAAAGUCCCUCGCGUAAAUUGCUUUGAAUAGGUAAAUCAAUCAUUUGUCCUUGAGGAUCCGCCAUUAAUCCUCGCAUACCUACUAAUUGGUGUACCUGCGAUGCAUUUCCUCUAGCUCCUGAAAAAGACAUUAGAUAGACUGGAUUAGAAGGAUCUGUUAUCCGAAAAUUCGAAUUCAUUUCGUGUUUCAAAUAUUCACUUGUAGCAUACCAGAUUUCAACGGAUUGGCGUAAUUUUUCUACCGCGUGUACAGCCCCAUAAUAAUAGUGUUUUUCCAAAAGAAAACUCUGUUGUUCCGCAUCUUGGACUAACCAUCCCUUAGAGGGUAUUGUUAAAAGAUCCUCGAUUCCUAAUGAAAUCGAUGUAGUAGUGGCUUGAUGGAAGCCCAGCGUUUUUAUUUGAUCCAGUAUAUGGGAUGUAUAUCCCAUUCCGAAAUGAUCUAUUAAUCUGCUAAUAAGUCGUUUCAUAGCAGUUCCAUCUAUCUCUUUAUUCUGAAAGACCAGAUUGGCCCGUUCCGCCAUAAAUAAGUACCCCCUUUUUCGGCUGAGUAUAAUUCGACAAUUGCUGAGUAGGAUUCGACAAUGGGCCUGAGUCAGUGAUUCGAAAACUUAGUUAACUUCCUUUCCUCAAUCUCAAUCUGGAUUCGUGCGGCAAAAAUGAUGAUUCUAGCGAAAUCGGAAUGCCCCUCGAAAGGGGCAUCCCCGAAUCUAACUUCCUUGUUUAGAUAGUGUAUGAAUAGGCCUGACUAAAUCCUUGUAUGGCUUCCUCUAUUUCUCUAUAAAAAGAAAUAUGACCAAGAGUGGUGCGAAUGUAUAUAGAACGGAUUUCCUUUUUUCUAUUUCCCACUACUAGAUAGUGGGCAUAAAUCUCACGAUAAGUCCCCAAAGAUUCAUAUUGAACUUCAAUCGGAACUUCUCUUAACCCAAUGACGCGUUGAUCUAGUUUCCAUCGGAGCCACAAGGGACUGUCUAAACAGAUUUGUUUCUGUCUAUAAGCUCCCAGUGCAUCAUAGGAACUAGAAAAAAGAGAUUCUUUAUCUUUCGUAUACUUAGGAUUAUUAUUAUUGUAAUUUACUUUUUGGUUUGGAUAGUUUCCGCAACUAUUAUAUCUAUUUGCACAAAUACCUCGACGGUUUCCAAUCGUUAAUACAUAAAGUCCGAUAAGCAUGUCUUGGGUUGGUACGCAAAUAGGAUCCCCAAUAGCGGGAGAUAGGAGAUUCAUAUGAGAAAACAUAAGUAAACGAGCUUCCGCCUGAGCUUCCAAGGAUAAAGGUAGAUGAACAGCCAUUUGAUCCCCAUCAAAGUCUGCAUUGAAACCUUUACACACUAAUGGGUGUAAACAAAUAGUACGCCCCUCUACUAAAGUGGGUUGGAAAGCCUGUAUGCCUAAUCUAUGCAGGGUAGGUGCUCUAUUCAACAGUACAGGAUGUCCCCUCAUAACUUCUUGAAGUAUUUCCCAUACAAUGGGUUCCUUUUCCCAAAUUUUCCUUUUAGCAAUCCUAACAUUAGAAGUAGCACGUUUCGUGAUUAAAUCGCGAAUUACAAAUAGCUGAAAAAGCUUUAUUGCUAUCUCUAGAGGUAACCCACAUUGAUGUAAUGAAAGUGAAGGACCCACAACAAUGACAGAACGCCCCGAGUAAUCGACCCGUUUCCCAAGCAGAGUUUCGCGAAACCUCCCCUCUUUACCUUCAAUUACAUCUGAAAGUGAUUUGUAUACUUUAUUGUGACCAUCCCUCGUUGGUUGCCCGCGGGACCCACUAUCAAGAAGUGUAUCCACGGCUUCUUGUACCAAUUUUUCCUGGCACAUUACUAAAUCUGCUGGCGCUAAUUCACUUCUUUUUAAUAGAUAGGCAAGAUUGUUGUUCCGACGGAUAACUCUCUUAUAAAGUUCAUUAAUAUCCGAAGUCACUACUUUAUCCCCAGACCUAUAAACAAUGGGUCUUAAUUCGGGAGGAAGAACUGGUAAUAAGCACAAAACCAUCCAUUCUGGUUCUACAUUUGUUUGAAUAAAAUGUUUCGCCAAUUGCAUGCGUCUAAUCAAAAAAACUUUUCUUAUUCGUCUUUUUCUAUCUUCCCAUUCAUCUCCACUAUACCCCUCGUCUUCUAAUUCCUUCCAUUCGACCGAGGAAUUCUCUAAAAUAAUUCGCAAAUCCAAAUCUGCUAAUUGUUCUCUAAUAGCACCUGCUCCUGUCGCAAUUUCCCGAUUUCGAAAUGUUGUAAAGCCUGGGGUAGAAAAAAAGGGGGAAAUGCUAUGGUUACAGGAUGAAAUUUCAUCCUCGAAUAAACCUCGUAAUCGUAAGAAAGUUGGUUUUUUAGCACUGGGCCUAGCAAAAGAGAAAUCGCCAUAUACUAGGCCCUCCAAUUUCUUAAGGGGUUUAUCUAAAAGAUUCGUGAUAUAACUAGGAAGACCUUUUAAAUACCACACAUGAGUCACGGGACAUGCGAGUUUGAUGUAUCCCAUUUGAUAUCUUCGUAUCCGAGAAUCAACAAAUUCUACUCCGCAUUUUUGGCAAAAUCUUUCGUCUUCGUUUUCAGCUCCGCUCGCUCGAGAAUUUCCACAAGCACAAAUUCUGCUUUUUAUGGGUCCAAAGAUUCUUUCGCAAAACAAUCCAUCUUUUUCUGGUUUAUCGGUUUUAUAAUGAAAAGUGGAGGGCCUUGUGACUUCGCCAACGACUUCCCCAUUAGGUAGUGUUUUGUUAGCCCAAGCCUUUAUUUGUUGAGGGGAAACGAGUCCAAUUUGAAGUUGUUGAUGUUUAUAUUGGUCAAUCAUAAAAUAGAAAUAAAAAAAGAAUUUAUAUUUAUUCCGAUCAAACUUCUUCCCUAUUAACCUGGAAGUUCUUCUGAGAUACAAGGAAAUGGUUCAGUUCUAGAGCCAAAGAUCGUAGUUCUCGAACAAGCACUCGAAAAGAUUCUGGAGGAUCCUUGUGAUUAGGUACUCGUUUUCCCCAGAUCGUAGCGUUAAGUAUUUCUUGGCGAGCUAUAAGAUGAUCAGAUUUAUAAGUAAGUAUCUCUUGUAAAAUAUGAGCAACACCAAAUCCUUCUAAAGCCCAAACUUCCAUUUCUCCUAUUCGUUGUCCCCCUUGCUUGGCUCUUCCUCUAACGGGUUGUUGUGUAACAAGUGAAUAGGGCCCAAUAGAGCGUCCGUGGAUUUUCUCAUCAACUUGAUGAAUUAAUUUUAAGAUAUAGGACUUCCCUAUUAGAACAGGCUGUUCGAAGGGGUCUCCUGUUCUUCCAUCAAAUAUUCUGCUUUUUCCCGGGUACUCGGGUUCAAAUACCCACGGAUUUUUUGUUUGUUUACUGGCUUCAUAUAAUUCUGAAAACACAAGUUUUCUUGAAGCCUCUUGCUCAUAUCUCUCAUCAAAGGGUGCUAUUCUAUAAUGUUUCUUUAGCAGAUCCCCUGCUAAUCCGAGCGAGCUUUCAAAUAUUUGUCCCACAUUCAUUCGGGAGGGUACUCCUAAGGGAUUGAAAACCAUAUCAACAGGCGUUCCAUCUUGCAAAUAGGGCAUAUCUUGCCUAGGCAAAAUUUUGGAAAUGAUCCCCUUAUUCCCGUGUCUUCCGGCUACUUUAUCCCCAACUUUGAUUUCGCGUUUUUGUAAAAUAUAUACACAAACCAUUAUGUCGAGGGGAUCCCUCUGGAUCCAUUUCACAUCGAUAACGCGUCCUCUUCCACCUAUCGGUAGUUUGAGAGAAGUUUCUUUUGAAGUGGAUACCUCAAGACCAAAUAUGGCCCGUAAUAAUCCAGCUUCCGCGAUAUAGGACGAUUCGCUCGCUAUCUGAGGCGUUAAUUUACCUACUAAAAUAUCGCCUGUUUCUACCCAGGACCCCAACUUCACAACUCCAUUUCUGUCCAAAUUGCGGAGUAAAUGUUCUUCUAGAUGUGGUAUUUCUUUAGUGAUUUUUUCAGCGGAGCCUUGGCUUGUUGUAUCCGUCUGAAUUUCAUAUUUUCGGAUGUGAAAAGAAGUAUAAAUAUCCUCAUAUACCAAACGUUCGCUAAUUAAUACUGCGUCUUCAAAAUUGUAACCUUCCCAUGGCAUAUAAGCUACUAAUACGUUUUUUCCUAAAGCAAGUUCCCCACCAACCGUAGCAGCCCCCUCCGCUAAAAUUUGUCCUUUUUUAAUGGAUUUACCCCGCGGAACCCGAGGUUUUUGGUGCAUACAAGUAUUUUUGUUAGAGCGCCGAUGGGUAACUAAAGGAAUACUUAUAGUCUUCCCACUACUUGAUAAAAGGAUCUUGUGACUAUUAGUAGAAAUGAUCUUUCCCUCGCGUUCGGCUAUAACAGAAACCCUCGAAUCUAGAGCUGUUUGGCGUUCCAAUCCAGUUCCAACAAUGCACUUCUCGGACCGAGAAAGCGGAACUGCUUGGCGCUGCAUAUUAGAACUCAUUAAAGCUCGAUUCGCAUCAUUAUGCUCAAUAAAAGGAAUGAGAGAACCCCCAAUAGAAAAAUAUUGGAAAGGAAAAAUACUUCUAACAUGAAUCUGUUCCCAUGCAAUAGUCAGGAAUUCUUGACGGUAUCUAGCUGGAACAACCUGUUCUUCCUGAAUACCCCGGUUCAAGGACAAAGAAUUUCCUGCUGCUAUCAUAUAAUACUCAUCUCUAUUUGGUGAUAAAUAAACCACCUGUCUCUCUUUUUUUUUCUUUGCUUUCUCAGAUAUUUCAUAAAAUGGACUCUCUACGGAUCCCCACCAAUGAUCAAUUCUCGCAUAAAUAGCUAAAGAUCCAGUAAGUCCAACGUUGAUUCCUUCGGACGUGUCAAUUGGACAAAUACGCCCAUAGUGACUCGGAUGGAUAUCUCGGCUCCGAAAACUUGCAGUUCUCCCCGUCAAUCCUCCAGGACCCAAACAACUCACUUUUCGCCCAUGAACCGUUUGUGUCAAUGGAUUGGUUUGAUCAAAAACUUGAGAUAAGGGAUAUGUACCAAAGAAGGUCUCGUAAGUAGUUAUUAAUAAAAUCGAGGUUGAAGUUGGAGUUACCAAAGUUUGUGGAGUCGGUUUUGAUUGACGUAUGAAUACUCUACGGAUAGUUUUUUGAACCGCAUGUUGUAAACGACCAAGAGCCAGUCCGAAUUGAUCUUGUAACAGAUCCACAACCGAACGAAUACGUUUAUUUUUCAAGUGAUUCAUAUCGUCAUCGUCAAGUAUACCCGUUUCAAAUUUCAUUCCAAUCAAAUGAUCCGUAGCGGCCAAUACAUCUCGCGGUAACAAGAAGGUGCUGUUCUGAGGUAUAUCAAGAUUCAGUCUUCGAUUCAUAUUUCGUCGACCAAUCCUUCCUAAUUCACAUUUUUGUUGAAAAAAUUUCUUUUGUAAUUCCUCACAUAAGGAUUCCGAAAAUACCAGGUCCCCACCUACACAAACAAAUUGUUGAUAAAACUCCAAAAUAGCUUUUUCUUUUUACUCAAUCCUCUUCUUCUCCUUAGCAUUAGGGAAAGACAAGAAAAUUUCAGGGUAGGAAACAUUAUCUAGAAUUUCUUUUAGAUUUGAACCCAUAGCUGAUGAUAGAACUAGAAUAGAUAUCUUUUGUUUUCUACUCACGCGAGCCCAUAUCCUUUCUUUUUUAUCAAUUGCUAAUUCCGAUCUUCCUCCCCAAUCUGAUAUUAUAGUCCCGGUGUAGAUAGAAAUUCCUUUAUGGUCUAAUUCCGAGCGGUAGUAAAUACCAGGACUUAGCAAUAUUUGAUUGAUCAUAAUUCGGUAUAUUCCAUUUAUUAUAAAGGUUCCUAAGGAAUUCAUUAUAGGAAUGUUUCCAAUAGAAAUGGUUUGCUUUUGCACAUCGAAACCAAAAAUUAAUCGCGCGGAUACGUAUAAUUCGGAAGAAUAGGUGAGUGAUUCAUACACAGCAUCCCUUUCUUUUAUCGAAGGUUCUAGCAAUUGAUAUCCUUUCGCAAAUAAUUGAAAUGAAAUUUCGUGAUCUGGAUCUUUAAUUGUUGGAAACUUCUCAAGUUCUUCUGCCAAGCCUUGAUUAAUGAACCUACAAAAUCCCUCGAAUUGGAUCUGACUAAAUCCGGGUAUUGUGGACAUUCCCUCAUUUCCAUUCCGGAGCAUCUUAAUCUUAAGUUUCCUGUUUAUCGAAGAAAAAUUCCAUUAUCAGCUCACUCUUCAUCAAUCCCUACAGAUCGAUCUAGCAAUUAUGGAAUCUAUAUUCUGUUUACUAAAUCACAUGAAAUUCUCGGGAACUCCACAUACGUAUUUCAUAUAUGUAUUUCAUACAUAUGAAUAGAGACAAUUUCAACGAAAGUUCGAAUUUCCCAGGGGUCCAAAUGGAAUGAAAAUGAAGUGAUAAAACAUUCCUAGAACCUCGAAAAAAAUUCUGCCACUUACAGUUUAUGAUAUUCUUAGAUUGGACGGCAAAGAUUUCUCAUUUUUUCUCCUUUCUAUGAAUGGGAUAAAACCAAAAUAUAAUAAUUUAUAAGCACUAGAAAGUUUGACUUUAGUUCGAUUGAGAAUAGCACGCUUAGUUUAAUUUCAAAAAAGAAUUUGAAGGUUCUUUUUUGUUUCGUAGUAGUAGAAUUUCUAUAAAAUAUAAGAUAUAAGAUUUCGUUGUAGAAUCCUAAAAUAAAGUAAGUACUUUUUUAAGUACAUGCCAAUCUAGUUCUGGACCUCCACAUAGCAAAGUCAAUUUUCUUUUUUUUAUUCAAGAUAUUUAAUGCAAUGAAAAAUUAAAGAACGAUUCUCCACAGAGAUAUGUACAUAAGGGGGAUCCAUAGAUAAUAAUGCUGUUCGGACCUGGAGUUUACCUAUAUACGGAUUAGGCAUAAAUCCAUUGUCUUUUAUUAUGACAUUAAAUGGCAGGCGGGAGAGAAUACCGAAAUUCAAAAUAAAAAGAGAAUUCUAGUUAAUGGUUCCAAUUUGUUCUUAAUUUUGUAGCUUGUGACUAGAAAUCCACUUUUCUCCUUUUUCAUUUCAAUAGAAAGAAAAGGGAAGUUUUCUAGUGUUAGCAAUGUGUGUUUUAAGAUAGAAUCCUUUGAGGAGAAUAAUCGAAACUGGAUUCAAAAAAAGCAUGAAUAGAUUUUUUGAAAAAGAUUGGAAAAAAGUAAGUAGAAUUAGAUUUAAGAUAAAAGAAAGUUAGUUUUAGUAAGAAACGUGGAUGAAUACUUGCUCUUUUCUCGAUUUUAGAUCGUAUUUUUUGGCGGCAUGGCCAAGCGGUAAGGCAGGGGACUGCAAAUCCUUUAUCCCCAGUUCAAAUCUGGGUGCCGCCUGAUCAAUAAAAUACUUAGGCUUAUAGCACUGAUCCAAAUCGACAAAUUUGCACCCCGCAUAAGUUGGGGCAAGAGAAUAACAAGGCUCGGCGAUACUGGAUUUUGAGAACCCACCGUUCUUUCCUCAAACUGGGGUUUGUUUUAGCAGUAGUGGCCCAAACCGAUACCAAUAGGGAUGAGAUAGCGUUUCCUUAUUCUUUUAUUAAUAAGAAAGGGCUAUGUAUCAUAUUUAUACUUAAUGCUCCCCAAUUCUACCAGAAAUACUCUAAGAAUUUGUUAAGAGUAAAUUCUUUGAACUGAUUCAUCCAUAGCCUUAGGUCAGAACCCCUUUUUGACUCUGUACCCUUGAUUCUACUAUGAUUAUUCAUCAAUAGUAGAAUAAUUCCUUCAUAGAAAUAGGAGACAUAAUUUACAUGGAUAUAGUAAGUCUCGCUUGGGCUGCUUUAAUGGUAGUCUUUACAUUUUCUCUUUCACUAGUAGUAUGGGGGAGGAGUGGACUCUAGGGAUACUACUAAUUGAUUGAGUAGUCGAAUUGUUGUAUCAACUCUUUUCUUUAAUUGACCGUUUUGCAUUAAUCAUUUUGCCGAACUUUAUUCUUUCUCUCUUUCUUUAAUUUUGUUUCACUCCUGUAAGAAACUCUUGUAAGAAAGAGUCUUUCUAUUCUUUCUAUUUCUAUUUCUAUAUAGUAGAAUAGAAAUAGAAAUAGAAAGAAUAGAAAAUAGAAAUAGAAAGAGCGGUGAGAGCAAUUCAUAAUCGCUACUAGAAGCGACCCAUGGUUAAAAAAGUUCUAUACAUAAGAACUUUAGAUUUUCUUCCGCGGAGCUAUUCCCAACAUAUCGCACAUUUUCCAUUUGUUUUAUAUUCUUUUCUUAUUCUUAGUUCUUAAAAUAAAUUUUAUGCACUUUUGAAACAUUUCGCGACAUGUUUAAGCAUGAAAGAUUCGCUGGUUUUUUCCUUUUACUUUUUUUCUUUUACUAUAGUCUAUUCUCAUAUUAUUUUUCUCUCCCUCCAUGGAUUUUUUCAUUUUGACUUGAUUGAAAUUAAGUGGAUGCAGUGAAAAAAGAUAUUCUAUUCUAUGUAGAUUCAAGAUAAUAUAAUAGAAAGACUCUAAAGUGUGGUAGAAAAAACUAUAUGUAGUUUUUUCUACCACACUUUAUGAUUCCAACCGGAUCCUUUCAUUUAAGACUUGGAUUUUUAUUUUAUUUAAUCCCUUUUUCAUUUCUUCAAUGAUUAAUUGAACUUCCAAUUAAUCAUUUUGGCUGACUGUUUUUACAUAAAUAAUAAGUAAAAAGGCAGUAGGAACUAGAAUGAACAAUGCAGUAGCAAUAAAUGCGAGAAUAUUGACUUCCAUAACCUCUUUUUUUUCGCAAUAACUCGGGAUGUAAUCCCAUGGAGAGGGAAAAGGGUAUCCUGUAAAUUCAAGGGGAGGACUUGCAUUCUGAUAAUACUGAAUCAAUUCAAUAUUAUGAAUAUCGGAUCUAUCAAAUCAAUUCAUGGUUGAGAGUGGAAUAGUAUAACAUAGGAGGAUCCCUUCCACGUAUGAUAUGUAUGUCUUUCGCUAUCAACCAGAAGUAGUGAUAAAAAAAUUCCUAUACUCUCCUCUCUUUACUGAGAAACGCGAACUAAAAAAAGUGAAAUAAGGGUACCCCAUAGGUAUUUGAUCUUGCUUCCUGCCCCCCUUUUUUCAUGGAAAAAGGAAAGAUGAAUUUCUCCAUUCAUUGAACCCUAGUUCGGGACUGACGGGGCUCGAACCCGCAGCUUCCGCCUUGACAGGGCGGUGCUCUGACCAAUUGAACUACAAUCCCCGCGGGGCGUAUGGCAUACUUAUUCUUAAAUGGAACCAUAAGAAUAAGAAUAUUCGCCUGUCCUACUCUAAGAAAUAGACCAAUCAUAUACUACAUACCCCCGUAUCGUAUGGGGGUAUAGUGAGAAUGACAUAACUAGUAUGUCGCGAUUUAUUAUCGCUAAAAAUAGAUAAUAAUCCACCUUUCAAUAACCAAUAAGAAAAGGUCUUUUGUUUGUAAGAGAGGAAUAAAAGAGAUAUAGAUUAGAAAGAUAUUUCCCCUUUUCUUUUUAUCCUUUAUUUCUUUUAUUUCUAUGGAUCAAAUAUUCUUUUUUAUGGAAGAAAAAAAAUGGAUUUAACUCAUAUUCACGAAGCCCUAGAUUUUUGGGCCGAGCUGGAUUUGAACUAGCGUAGACAUAUUGUCAACGAAUUUACAGUCCGUCCCCAUUAACCGCUCGGGCAUCGACCCAGGAAGAAUUUAUUCUAGGGUUUUUGAUAAUCUAUGAUUAACCUCCUUUCAUAAUACUCCCUACCCCCAGGGGAAGUCGAAUCCCCGCUGCCUCCUUGAAAGAGAGAUGUCCUGAACCACUAGACGAUAGGGGCAUCACUAGACGAUAGGGCGGUAUACAACCGCUCCUCAUUAUACUAUAAUGAUAGUAUGAGCAGUUUUUUGGAAUUGUCAAUAUACUCGAAGAGUAUAACUAGAUCCAAAGCAAGGAGUCCUUCCUACUUUUCCAUUAUGCUUUUGUAGGAUUUUUUUUAGUUGAUGGUUAGGUUAAUUCACGGAUCAUCCCCUACUUUUUAGGGAAAUUCGUUUAUAAAGGAUAUGGAAUAAGAAUAGAUUAAUAAAAGGGAUUCUAUAUUAGUUCAGUACGGGUAGUGAUUUGAUUGAUCUAAUAGGAAAAAGAGUCCAAUUUCUUUUUUGGAAUUUACACCCCCCUGCUUCGCUUAGUGUUUAAACUAAAAAUGCAUGCAUCUCGCACUAAGUUAUCAAAUUCAAUAAAAAAAGAGAAAUUUUCAAAAAGAAAGAAAGUGAAUGAAUUUAGUAGAAAAGUACUGUAUCGGAUUUGAACCACUGACUCACGUCUUACCGCGGCAUUACUCUACCACUAAGUAAAAAAAGCCCUUUAUCGGAUUUGAACCGAUGACUUAUGCCUUACCAUGGCAUUACUCUACCACUGAGUUAAAAGGGCUUCUUAUUCAAUUCCAAAAUUAGCCACUUUCAUUUCCCAUUAUAGGUCUACUCCAUAAUGUACAUUAUAUCUGUAUAUAUCGAGAUAUAUAAGUCUAUUCAUGGUCAGGUUCAAAAAAAUCUUAAGAAAAUCAAGAAAAAUAGGAAAAUCUUUCAUAUUCUCUCUUAUCACUUGCACAAAGUAUAGGGCUUUUUAUCUUUAGGCUAUUGACUUUUCACAUGCUCAGAACGGUCUGAAAAAUUAGGGACUUUUUUCUUCUAUUGGCUGAUCUUAUCAUGAAAACUUUCUCCAUUUAUGUUUUAUUUCCUCUAAUUGGGUGGGGUAUAAACGAAUUCGCGCCCUUCAUAUACCCAUAUGGCUGGGUAUUAAUUUUCAGUGAUAUACUUCUUGUCUGUUUUGGUGAGAGGUUGAAACAAUUUUUAACAGGCAUCCCUUGGAAAAACCUUCGAGUUCAAAACUUUGCAAUUUUUCUUAAGCGGAUUUGUUGAAGCGAUUUUCAGCAGGUACCUCUUCUCUUAGAAAUAUCUUAGAAAUAGGGUACUUGAAUAUUCUCAAGGGAUUCUGAUUGGUGCAUUUUGAACAAACUGUAGUGGAGUUUUAUCACCAAUUUUCUUGUAAAAGGCGGGCAGUAGAAUUUAUACUGCUCCUGGUUCAGGGUUUUCCGUUUCCGAAAACUAGCAAAAAAGGAGGGUUCUGGAACCCUUAAGGUUCGAUGGUAUAUGGAUAUGGAAAAUCCAACAUGCCCCAUCCUAAUAGGAAAAGGAAGGGAACAGAUACCCAAUAUGAUUAUUGGGAAGAACUUUUGGUAAUGGUCUCGGGCCUAUAUGCUCUUUUUUGUGUGUUCUUAGUUCUAUUCAUCUUCUUUGAUUCUUUUAAACAAGAAUCUAAUAAACUAGAAUUGAGUGGAAAAGAAGAGAAGAAAAAGUUAAACGGAGAGAAUCGACUAAGCAGAGACAUUCAGAAUCUUCUUUACAUCAAGUAAAUCCUUCGGCUCCUAUGUGCCUUUUUCUUUAAGUUAUUUAUUGUUUCUCUCAAGCCAUAGGGAAAGUCUAUGAUAAAUAAAAAAAAACAUCUCACUCUUUCUCUAUGGCCCAGAUUUCAUGAUAAGUGGGGGAAGAUGUUUUCUUCCCCAAAUUCUUUGUUCAAUUCUGAACAAAAAAGAAAGUAAAGGAAAGGCCCGCGAUCGAAGUACCAACCGCUAACUGUGAGGAACCUUCUCUGUUUCAUUAACUAAGAGGGAAUUAGCAUCUUUCUCGAAUGGCUACCCUUGACAAAGGGUAGCGUUGGUAUCAGAAUUUACAUGUAGCGGGUAUAGUUUAGUGGUAAAAGUGUGAUUCGUUCUAUUAAUAACUGAAUUUGAAAUGAUAUACUUAAGGCGUCCUUAAGGUUUUUUAUAUUCCGAUGAAAACUUUAGUUCUUAGAAAGGAUUUACUCCUUUUUCUCUCAAUAGCAUAUUGAGGAAGAAUAUGCAUUUUCGCGAUUUGUACCCAAAGACUAAUUGAAAUUGCAUCCAAAAAACAAAUAGGAUUUCGAUUAUGAGUACAGAGUCGCGAAGCAUAAUUUUGCAUUGGAUUAAGGAUUCCAAUUUUUUAAAUAUGAGUAAAGGAUCUAUGGAUGAAGAUACAAAAAAAUUUAUUUCCAAUCGUAACUAAAUCUUCUUUUGUUAAAAAAGGAAAUGGAAGCCAAAUAGCUAAAAAACGGUAGUUUUGGUUUACUAGAGCCAUCAGCAUAUUGUUUCAGCUCGGUGGAAACCCAAUUCUUUUCCUCAGGAUCUCUUAAAUGAAAUUAGGGAACGAAGUAAUUAGAUUAGAUAGAUUUAGGCAAAUUUCUAUCUCCUACUCUUUAGGGAUCAUCUAGAAAGCAGAGAGCCUUGGUUCCAUUCAGACAAAAAAGCUGACUUAGAUGUUAAGUGGUGAGAAUACCCAUAAAGGAGCCGAAUGAAAUCAAAAUUUCAUGUUCGGUUUUGAAUUAGAGACGUUAAUAAUAAUCAACCAACGUCGACUAUAACCCCUAGCCUUCCAAGCUAACGAUGCGGGUUCGAUUCCCGCUACCCGCUCCAUUCUGUAUAAAAUAACUAUUCUAUUUGUCUAGACAUGGUAGAGGCCUGUAUUCAACCUUUUUCGUCCACCGGUUUCCAGCGCUCCAGAGCGGAGUAGAGCAGUUUGGUAGCUCACGAGGCUCAUAACCUUGAGGUCACGGGUUCGAUUCCCGUCUCCGCACUUAGCAGUCUGUAUAAAAGGACUAUUCUAUUUGUCUAGAUAUGGUAGAGGGCUGGGUGGUUGGGCGGUAUCCAACCCUUUUUAUUCAUUAGUUCCCGACCCUAUAAGGCCAAAUUGAGCAGGUUGCGAAGUAACUUGCUACCACAAGAGGAACUCUCAAGGCCCCCUCCCUACCUUGCAGAAAAGAAAAAAUAAAUGAAAGAAAGGCACAGUCUAUCUCCCUUCCCUUUAAAAGCUGUUUGCUGGUUGUUUGUUUCGGUGAAUCCCCGGUUUAGGGAACCCUGUUGCCGAGUUCGAUUCCCGCCGCUGUAGUGCUCUUUUUUUGAGUGGGGUGCAAAGGGGGUUAAGAUAGUAAAGGGGUAUGGUACUAGACUAACACCUAUUACUUUAAUAAAAGUAGACUAAAUUUUUUAUCAUAGUACCUUACUAAAUUAAGCUGGCGAGCGGCGGGAAUCGAACCCGUAUCUUCUCCUUGGCAAGGUGAUGUUUUACCAUUGAACUACGCUCGCUACGUCCUAUAUUUUAUAGGGUAUAUCCGCCUGGGUCGACCGUCUAUGUCUGGGUCGACCGUUUCAUUUUCUAUUUGAGUUUUCUUUUUAUUAAUUUAAUUGUCUGUCAAUCAAUUCGGGGCACAAAUUGCAUUUUAAUGCGUCUCACAAUCCGAAUAAACGGCCCUUUUUUAUUUUGUAUCGGGCUACUAAAUACUAAACACAUUUAAGAAAUGAGAGAAUUUAGAAUAGCUACCAGAAAGACCAGUCCAAUCCAUAAUGAUGUACCGGAAAAUACAACGUUUUUAUUGUUUGACCAACCAUCAGGAGAAGCAAAUACAAGGGGUACACUAAUGACUAAGACUGAGGAAGUCACAAUUAAUGCAAAAACAGCUAAUUGGAAAGCAAUAGUCAUAUUUCUAAUCCUCCAAGUUACCAUCAAAUAAAGUUGACUACAUAUUAUAUUUGAUCCCUCACUUAAUCAAAAUUGUAAUAAAAUACAAGAAGUAGGAGGGGUUUAAUCAUGAAUCCAUUGAUUCUUCUCUUUAAAACUUAUUACUCACCACUUUUUUUAUUUGGAUAUGGGGUUGAGGGGGUUUUAUGCUUUAUUUCACAAGCGGAUAUAGCGGAUCCUGUAUACAUGGAUACAGUAUACAGAAAUAUAUCGAAAAGGGAUUUGUAUUUGAGAUGUUUCUAGAGGUUAGUGAGUCAUUUCGUAUGGCUAUGUUCUAUUUGUAGGAAUAAAAUAAGGAUUAGGCUGUGGAGAGAUGGCUGAGUGGUUGAUAGCUCCGGUCUUGAAAACCGGUAUAGUUCUAGGAACUAUCGAGGGUUCGAAUCCCUCUCUCUCCUUUUGCUUUCCUCUCUCUUUUCUUUUGCGUAUUGAAUACGUUUGUUUCUUUAUUUGUUUUUUUUUGUUCUGUCCCCUUAUCUUUCUUUCAUAGAAAGGAAUGAAUGGCUCGGCUAGAUAGAAUAACCGAGCCAGAACAGAAAAAAACAGUAGAACAGGUAUAAAUAAGAAAAUCUUAGUUAAGAGGGGUCAUGUAAAGAACAGGCUCCAAAUCACGAUCGAUUCCCUUUUCAAAUCCUGCUGCAGCAGCCCGGGCUCUUCCUGCAUGCCACAAAUGGCCCACAAAAAAGAAGAAUCCUAGAACAAAAUGGGAAGUCGCUAACCAACUUCUAGGAGAAACAUAAUUAACUGCAUUGAUCUCGGUAGCUACGCCACCCACAGAAUUUAAAGAGCCUAAAGGAGCAUGGGUCAUAUAUUCUGCCGAACGUCGUUCUUGCCAAGGUUGUAUGUCUUUUUUCAACCUACUCAAGUCCAAACCGUUGGGGCCCCUUAGAGGUUCUAACCAUGGAGCACGAAGGUCCCAAAAAUGCAUAGUUUCCCCUCCAAAAAUAACCUCUCCCGUUGGGGAACGCAUUAGAUAUUUACCUAAACCUGUGGGUCCUUGGGCAGAUCCCACAUUAGCUCCAAGACGCUGAUCUCUAACUAGAAAAGUAAAUGCUUGAGCUUGAGAAGCUUCUGGCCCAGUAGGUCCAUAAAACUCACUCGGAUAAGCUGUAUUAUUGAACCAGACAAAACAACAAGCGAUAAAACCAAAGACAGAUAAAGCGCCUAAACUAUAAGACAAGUAAGCUUCUCCAGACCAUACAAAUGCACGGCGAGCCCAU
rnacentral:lncRNA from 1 species